rnacentral:misc_RNA from 1 species
UCCGGUUUGUCACCGGCAGUCUCGCAUGAGUCCCCGGCUUUACCCGCUGGCAACAUACGACGAGGGUUGCGCUCGUUGCGGGACUUAACCCAACAUCUCACGACACGAGCUGACGACAGCCAUGCACCACCUGUGCAAGUGCCCCGAAGGGAGACCGGGUUUCCCCGGCUGUCACCUGCAUGUCAAGCCCUGGUAAGGUUCUUCGCGUUGCAUCGAAUUAAGCCACA